UACGAAGGGGGCUAGCGUUGCUCGGAAUUACUGGGCGUAAAGCGCACGUAGGCGGAUUGUUAAGUCAGGGGUGAAAUCCUGGAGCUCAACUCCAGAACUGCCUUUGAUACUGAGAAGCUUGAGUCCGGGAGAGGUGAGUGGAACUGCGAGUGUAGAGGUGAAAUUCGUAGAUAUUCGCAAGAACACCAGUGGCGAAGGCGGCUUACUGGUCCGGUUCUGACGCUGAGGCGCGAAAGCGUGGGGAGCAAACAGG
rnacentral:rRNA from 1 species